UUUCAAGUUUUGUUGUUAACAUUGUUUGGUAGUGAUUGUCAAAUAUUAAACACAACUUCAGAAGUUAAUAAUACUUCACAAAGUUCAUUUCCUAAAUGUAUCUGGAUGCCAAACAAUACAACACCUGGACUCGAAGAAGACUAUGAGGGUGAUGAUGAUCAAUAUUAUAUCAUUGGUGGAACAGAAUCAUAUCUUGGAGAGUUUCCAUUUAUGGCUGCUCUAGGAUGGAUAAAUGAUACAGGAGGAUUGAGUUUUCAUGGAGGUGGAAUGGUGAUAAGUCCGAGAAUGAUCUUAACCGCUGCUCAUUGUGUUUACAAAGAUGG